CAGAAGCUCUCCUAAUCCCAUGAACGUACUUUGGGCUACAAAGCAUUUAGAGAGUAGCUUCCUAGGUCCUGAGGUUGAGAAAGAAACUUGCCCUUGCUUCAAAGUAGGAAAGAAGCUUUCUUGGAGAGACAUGAGGUUUAGGAAGGUCUAAGGAGCUGUGGAGAUUGGGGAGAAAAAUGGAUAUGCUGUCUGGAAGCACUUGUGAGAUUCACUGCAUAUACUGUCACCUAGGACCUGAAUUUCACCCCUCAAAAGAGUGACCUGAAACACAUAGCCCAGGUGACCCUUCCCAGACCUGGAAAAUGAAGGAUCUUCUAAAGGGAUGACAGCUGGACCCCCAAACACUUGCUCUAGAGGGAGCUGAAUUGGAGAAACUGUAAGCAAGGAAGGCAGAAGAAAUGUUUUAAAGAGACAAUUCCUCAGAUGAUAUAAUGUAACCAUGAGCAAACUGGAGUACAGCAACAGAAGACAAAUUUACCUGGAGUAGA